GAUGAAGAACGUAGCGAAAUGCGAUACGUAAUGUGAAUUGCAAAUUCAGUGAAUCAUCGAGUCUUUGAACGCACAUUGCGCCCCCUGGUAUUCCGGGGGGCAUGCCUGUCCGAGCGUCAUUUCAACCCUCAAGCACGGCUUGGUGUUGGCGGAUUGCGUGCCCUAGCGGCGCUGCACCCGCCCAAAUACAGUGGCGGUCCCGCUGCGGCUCCCUUUGCGUAGUAACUCACCUCGCACUGGACCGGGCGGCGGCUCGCCGUAAAACCCCAACUCACGAAAUGUUGACCUCGGAUCAGGUAGGAAUACCCGCUGAACUUAAGCAUAUCAAUAAGCGGAGGA
rnacentral:misc_RNA from 1 species